GCAAUAAAUAGCGUUCGGCUCAUUGUUAAGGCUCCUGAAAUGAAUAUGUGCAGAGACUUCGGUUAGCUGCUUCUCUCCGGUGCAGAAGGGGUGUCAGCUGCUGGAUACCUCUGUCUUUCUCUCCUGCCUUCAUUGCUAGGUCUGCUGCGGUCAGGUCAAGUGGUGGUGCCCAACUUCUCAACAGCCUUGCAGGUAGAGGAGAAUCUGUAACAAGAUAGGGAAAGAAAGAGGAGACAAAUAUUCUUUCCCAGUCCAUGGAAAAAUAACCUGUUGGAUUAUCAUCUGGAAACUGUGGCAAGUGCCAACAUGAGCAACGAGAGGCCAGUGAACCCCAGCUCAUCUGCACUGAUGGAGGGCCUGAAGAGAAAGAGGGGAAGACCAAAGAAGCAGCCACAGGAGGAGGCUGUGGGACCAUUGCCAGUGAAGAAACCACGAGGAAGGCCAAAAGGAAGCAAGAAAGUGACUAUUGUAUCUGGACAAAUGGUAAGAGUAAAUGGCAUACAUUCUUUUAUGGGGGAGAGAGAAGCUGGCUGUCCCUUCUUGAAGCAUUGCUGGAGAGACAAGCAAGGAGGUUUCUCUUAGCUUAAAGAUAGAUAAUGAAAGUUGCCCCUAAUUCAGUGCAGCUUUAAUUGCCACUAUUGGACAAACCAAUUAUUGUGGGUUUAGUCCUAACUCACUUCCAGCCUUCCUGUGUUGCCACUGCCUGUUCAGCAGCUUCCUUCUAGCGUUUCUCCUCCACUAUUGCCAAAUAAUCACAAACAGCAUAGUUGGGCAGGUGUUUCCUCCUCAACUGUCUUCUAUCCCCAGCUUUUGUCUCUUCUGCUACUUGUCUCACAAGAACUUUAUAUAGAAGUCACCUUGGCCAGGUUUAAUGUAUUAGUCACAGUGCCUAGCAAGUAUGAGAGUUGAAAAUAUUUUUUUUUCCCCUUCAUUUUCAAAAAAGGUAGAACCUUCUGCUGGGAAAAGGCCAAGAGGGAGGCCCCGCAAGUGGGUGAGUACAGUGUUUUGUCCUUUUCCUCUUCUGCAGUCACAGAUCCUGAGGGAUUUUCAGUUGCAUUUGUUCUUCUCGGGCUCUCUAUCUACAAUGACAUUCUUUCAGCCUAGGUGGCCUGAAAAUCUAACAUGUUAGGGAAGCUCCGACUGCCUUUCCAGUCACCCUAAGAUUCAGCUCCUGAAGAAUUCUGAGAGCCCAGGAGAGCUGCUCUACUUAAUUUAAGACAUACUAGUCUCCCACAGUAUUUUCCCAGGCUUGGAAUGUCAGACCAGAGAUUCCAUCCUUUGUUGGGCAGAGGGGUUGUCUUCCUAGGAGUCUUGAAAGACUGAAGUGAUUGCUUGGCAUGUAAGUUUGUCUCAAAAGAAGAAACUUAAAAUUAAACAAAAAGAAAUUUGGUGAAUGGAGAAACUUUGAAUCCUGCCAGCAGGAGGCUCUUUUAUGCAGCAAACAAAGGAUUAGUAAGAAUCAGUAGAUGAAGAUAUAACAUUUCAGGCAUGAAAAAAAGAUGAAAGCUUUUAUUUUAAUCAGUAAGGAUAUUCAGUCCUGUGAACGAUUAAUGACACGUUAUCUAUCAUUAGGAGUGAUUAAAAAAAACCCACAACAACCACAAACCAUUAUUUAGUGUAUAUCUGUUACCACAAAAAAUUCUAGACCAAGCCUAAGCU